rnacentral:tRNA from 1 species
GGAGUCGUGGCCGAGUGGCCGAAGGCGCUGCCCUGCUAAGGCAGAUCGGGGAAACCCGACGAGGGUUCAAAUCCCUCCGACUCCG